UCACGUUUCAAAUUUUGUUUUAAUAUUUAUUAGCCAUCAACACAAACGAGAAAAACGUUUUGGUUCCAGACCAUAUAAUUCCAGUUGAUGUUUUGAGGAAUGAAAAAUCAUGUCAACCAAUAAUGAACUAUCAGAUACUCAGCGUAUGUUAUUGCAUGCCAUUAUGUUUUCGAGUCUUCUAUCCACUCUUUGUGAUGGAAUUUUUUAGUUAUGACUUAUGUGGACCAUGUCAAUCAGAGUUGUUUUGUUGGCACAGGUUAAAAAUUGUUAUCUUAAUUUGUAUAGAUGUUUGCAUGUGUGUAAUUUUGCACACCUUCCAAGGUGUGUAUUUGCAAGCUGUGUAGCAAGCAAAAAGGUGUGUUAUUUUGCACACCUUGCAAGGUGUGUAAAAAAGCACGGCUUAAGGUGUGUAAUUUGUUCGCUAGAGAUUCAGGGCAAAAUACACACCUUAUUGUGUGUAAAAAUACAUACCUUUUUGAAAAACACGCCUCAAGGUGCGUGAAUUUGGCGAAAGCAAAAAACGCAAAAAACACACCUUAAGGCGUGUUUUUACACACCUUUAUCUUGCAAAUACACACCUUCAGGUGUGUAAAAAUACAUUGGGAUGCUGUCUCUCCCACGUUUGAGAGUCUCCGCACCACGAAAUGCGACUUAGUUAUUUGUAUAAUAGUAAAUUUACAGUUGACAACUUUAAAAAGUCGUUUUUCACGUUGUUUGAAUUGUCUAGAAUCUUUCACGAGGGCAGUCCCUGCCUAUCCGCCCGAAAAUUUAGUGGAUUAGUAUAAAUAUCACCUUCCUAGGUUCAUAGUCUAAUCCAGAACGAUGUCUGACUGAUUAAACGUUUAUUAAUAUCCGCUAAAGCAUCUGUAAAGUUAAAUCGCGGGUUAAGAUACCAUAAAUCUGGGUUAUCAUCGAAUUGUGUCUGUUGUGAUGUGUUCCUCUUCGUCUGGUUUGUUUGACUGAGUUUGUAACCCGUUCUCGCAGCCAUGUGUUGGGGACCUGGUGACUUACGUUUGUGACCUCGUUUCAUCUGAGAAUUUUUUAGUGGGCUUGUGAUGUCCUACAUAGGGAAUAUACAAAAAACAACAUGUGAAAUUUUAUGUGGAAUUGGAGCAUGUCACAUGUGAAAAUCAGGGGCGUAGCUAGAGGGUGUGUGUGUGUGUGUGGGGGGGGGAUGUAACAUCGGCAAAUUGUUUUCGUAGUCAGCGAAAAUAUUUGAGUGGCUCGGAAUAAAAAGCAAUAGUUAUAGAAAAUGUU